UCUUCCCUCUUUCUUCGUGCCUAAUACAUGCAAGUCGAGCGAACAGACGAGGAGCUUGCUCCUCUGACGUUAGCGGCGGACGGGUGAGUAACACGUGGAUAACCUACCUAUAAGACUGGGAUAACUUCGGGAAACCGGAGCUAAUACCGGAUAAUAUAUUGAACCGCAUGGUUCAAUAGUGAAAGACGGUUUUGCUGUCACUUUUAGAUGGAUCCGCGCCGCAUUAGCUAGUUGGUAAGGUAACGGCUUACCAAGGCAACGAUGCGUAGCCGACCUGAGAGGGUGAUCGGCCACACUGGAACUGAGACACGGUCCAGACUCCUACGGGAGGCAGCAGUAGGGAAUCUUCCGCAAUGGGCGAAAGCCUGACGGAGCAACGCCGCGUGAGUGAUGAAGGUCUUCGGAUCGUAAAACUCUGUUAUUAGGGAAGAACAAAUGUGUAAGUAACUAUGCACGUCUUGACGGUACCUAAUCAGAAAGCCACGGCUAACUACGUG
rnacentral:rRNA from 1 species